rnacentral:rRNA from 1 species
UCGAGAAUCUUCGGCAAUGGGCGCAAGCCUGACCGAGCGACGCCGCGUGGAGGAUGAAGGCCCUUGGGUUGUAAACUCCUGUCAGAGGGGAUGAAGUGCCAGUCAGCAAUCUGAUUGGUUUGACAUAGCCUCAGAGGAAGCACGGGCUAAGUUCGUGCCAGCAGCCGCGGUAAUACGAACUGUGCAAACGUUAUUCGGAAUCACUGGGCUUAAAGGGUGCGUAGGCGGCUUAUCAAGUAGGGUGUGAAAGCCCCCGGCUUAACCGGGGAAUUGCGCCCUAAACUGACGAGCUGGAGUGGGACAGGGGUGUGUGGAACUUCCGGUGGAGCGGUGAAAUGUGUUGAUAUCGGAAGGAACGCCGGUGGCGAAAGCGACACACUGGGUCUCAACUGACGCUGAGGCACGAAAGCCAGGGGAGCGAACGGGAUUAGAUACCCGCGUAGUCC